UUCAUACAUUUUCAUCAAAUUUUGUUUGAUCUUGUGUUCACAACAACUUGUGUGUUUGUAAUGUAAGCAUUUGUAUGAUUUGACUAAGCCAGUUGGAAAAUCGCUGCAUCCGGCUUCACCACCUGCAUCUAUGGCAAGCCCCGCCAUCUCUUUCUCCUUCUUCUUCUUCUUCUUCUUCUUCUUCUCUGCGCCACUCUUGAAUUUUCUUCAUCUUCACCCUCCAAUCACCUCUACGAUGUUGGAGAACUUGUCCCAUUGUUUGUCAACAAAGUGGGACCCUUCAACAACCCCAGUGAGACAUAUGAAUACUAUGAUUUUCCAUUCUGCACCCCAGACCCAAUUGUCAGAAAGAAAGAGUCCCUUGGGGAAGUUCUCAAUGGUGACCGUUUGAGCAAUGCUUUGUACGAGUUCAAGUUCCGGGUGGACAAGAUUGAUGAGACCUUGUGCCAAAAUAAGCUUACAAUUGAUCAAGUUGCAACCUUUAAGUGAGCUAUAAACCGUGACUUUUACUUCCAGUUUUACCUGGAUGAUCUUCCAUUCUGGGGGUUCAUUGGGAAACUUGAAGAGGAUGGGUGGAUUCCUGGUGGAGGAGAACCAAAUUAUUACCUUUUUACACAUGUUCAAUUUGAUGUUCUUUACAAUGGGAACUGGAUCGUGCAAGUAAAUGCAUUUGGCGAUCCAAAUCGCGCUGUGGAUAUUACUAAAGAUGUUGGUGUUGAUGUUAAGUUCACUUAUUAUGUUAUCUGGAAUGCCACUAAAGUACGUUUUGAGAACAGGAUGGACAGAUACUCAAGAGCUUCGUUGAUGCCUGCCCACCGGCAAGUUCAUUGGUUCUCGUUCAUUAACUCAAUUGUCGUCAUUUUGCUUUUGAUUGGUUUGCUUGCCCUGCUUUAUAUACGGUAUCUGAGGAGUGAUUUGAAAAAGUAUUCUAAUGCAACUGAAGAAGAUAAUGAGGUUGGUUGGAAGUCCCUCCAACACGGCGAUGUAUUCAGACCUCCUCCAAACUCAUCCUUACUUUUUGCUGUUGUGGGAACUGGUACCCAAUUGCUAUCUUGCUCUGUGUCUUGCUGUUUCUAGCACUUAUUGGCACCCUCUAUCCCUACAAUCAUGGAGGACUGUUAAAUUGCCUUGUCUUGUUGUAUGCUCUGGCAUCUGUUUUUGCUGGGUACACUGCAGCAUCCUUCCAUGGCCAGUUUGCUGAGAAUGGAUGGGAAAGAAGUGCAAGUCUAGCAGCAAUUCUUUACACUGGACCAGUGCUUGUUGUAGCCUCUAUUCUCAACAUUGUCGCAAUAUCUUACAGGGCUACAAUUGGACUCCCAUUCGGCUCCAUUAUUGUGAUUCUUAUUUUAUUAACAUUUCGCCAUCCCAUUGAUUGCAUUUGGUGGAGUGAUUGGAUACCGUUUUAGAUCUAAGUUUCAAAGCCCCUCUGCCACGAAGAGACAUUCAAGAGAUAUUCAACAGCUUGCUUGGUACAGGAGAACUCCAUUUCUAAUGUUUAUUGGGGGUCUUGUGCCUUUCAGUGCAAUUGUCUUGCAACUACACCAGGUGUAUGCUAGUAUGUGGGGCUACAAAAUAUACACUCUUUCUAGCAUUUUGUUUGCCACAUUCAUUCUUGUCAUUGUGAUCAUUGCACUAGUCAGUAUUGGCUUGACAUACAUUCAACUGUCUGCGGAAGACCAUGAAUGGUGGUGGAGAUCAGUGCUGUGUGGUGGCUCAACAGCCAUUUUCAUGUUUGGGUAUUGUAUCUACUUCUAUGUGAGAUCAAAUAUGAGUGGAUUCUUGCAGCUAUCCUUCUUUAUUGGCUAUAAUGCAUGCCUGUGCUAUGCUUUCUUCCUAAUAUUUGGUGCAAUUAGUUUCCGAGUUUCAUUGCUAUUUGUUCGCCAUAUAUACCAUGAUGUUAAAAGAGAGUGAGUCACCUAUCUAAGAAGCAAAAGCAAUAUUGGUUAUAAUGCAAGGGUAUCCCUUCCUUGAAUUAUGGAUCACCCUUUGGAAAGUCAAGUGUACACAGUAUGAUACUAUGAUGUAAGGGUAUCCCUUCCUUGAAUUUUUUUAGUUACAAGGACAUUUGUGCAGACAAUGUAUCCUUUAUUUUACUUUUCUUAACUCUGACUGCACAUUUUGGAAGAGGCUUCCUGGUGGCAUAUUUUACCAUGGAAAAAGAGAUGAGUGGAAUGACAUUUCUAAGAAGGAUUAAGUGUCUA